GAAUCUUAGACAAUGGGGGAAACCCUGAUCUAGCCAUGCCGCGUGAGUGACGAAGGCCCUAGGGUCGUAAAGCUCUUUCGCCGGGGAAGAUAAUGACGGUACCCGGUAAAGAAGUCCCGGCUAACUCCGUGCCAGCAGCCGCGGUAAUACGGAGGGGACUAGCGUUGUUCGGAAUUACUGGGCGUAAAGCGCACGUAGGCGGAUUAGUCAGUCAGAGGUGAAAUCCCAGGGCUCAACCCUGGAACUGCCUUUCAUACUGGCGAUCUUGAGUUCGAGAGAGGUGAGUGGAAUUCCGAGUGUAGAGGUGAAAUUCGUAGAUAUUCGGAGGAACACCAGUGGCGAAGGCGGCUCACUGGCUCGAUACUGACGCUGAGGUGCGAAAGCGUGGGGAGCAAACAGG
rnacentral:rRNA from 1 species